rnacentral:rRNA from 1 species
UACGGGGGGUGCGAGCGUUGUCCGGAAUCACUGGGCGUAAAGGGCGCGUAGGUGGCUCUGUAAGUUUGCGGUGAAAGCCCGGGGCUCAACCCCGGGUCUGCCGUGGAUACUGCAAGGCUUGAGUACUGUAGAGGCAGGUAGAAUAUCUGGUGUAGCGGUGGAAUGCGUAGAGAUCCGAUAGAAGACCGGUGGCGAAGGCGGCCUGCUGGGCAGUAACUGACACUGAGGCACGAAGGCCAGGGGAGCGAACGGG